GAUAUAUGUGUACAGAGUGUAUCUGGUGUGUUUAUAGAAGAGUAGGGAAGCGAUAUCAAGCUUUGACUUAUUCCGGGAUGUUCUGACUAUUGUCAAAUUUGUACAUGUUUGUUUGGUUAGUGCACUGGCCCUUUAAGAGAAAGGCAUUGUCUGUGUGCGGACAGGGGAAGUGUAAAAGACUCAGACAAUCGACUGAUUAAUGUGAUCUAUGCUGUGAAAGGCUGAUAAAAAGGCAUUCCCUGGAGAAGAUGAUCUGCAGGAUCCUGCUGCUCAUCAUCCUCACCUCAUGUGUCUCUGGAUCAUUUGUAGUCAAUGUGACACAGACCUGCUAUCAGGCAGAGGAGAACCACAACAAAAGGAAGAAUAUUAAUGUAUUUCUUUAUAAAUCACCAUAUUCUUUUGAUGUUGCAUUUUGAAAUUAUAUAUUAAAUACUUAUAAUAAAUGGCACAGUUGGCCAAAUGGUGCCAAGUGUAAAAUGGAUUUAAAGAAUUUCUUGAAUGCGAACCAGUUUGUAAUGUCUGACAAGGAAAACACAUAUCAUGUCUGUCAGCGAGGGCAGCAGUCUAAACACAGAUACCCAGAGAUAAUGUUUUUCUCUACAUGAUACCAUAUAAAAUAUAAAAUUAAAAAUAUCUGAUCAAAUCAUUUCAUGCAGGAAUCUUACAAAAUGAAUUUAUAAGCAACAACAACCUCUCACCAGCUUGGAAGAUCAAAUAAAUUACAUUGAAGGUAAAAAUAAACAGUUCUGUUGUCUCCUUCCUGGUGGUUUGGGAGUUGUUUUUGUCACGGACCCGGUUCCAGGGACUCAGGGUUAUUAUUAUUAUUAUUGUUAUGGUUGUUGUUUGAGGGUUGUGUCUUCUGCACUGCUGCUGUCCUGUGUUUGUGUACUGUCAGGUGUGUAUGGGUGUGUGCGUGUGUGAGGGUGUGGUAGUGGCAGGCACCUUCAGGCCUGGUGGGUGUGGCCCUGCCAGCUGACCGGUCACACCCAGGAAUCUCCACACACACCUGGUGCCGAUGAAGCCUCGUCAGAGGAGCUUCAAAACAGUGUGGCUGAGAGCUCCUCGACGCUGGAUCGUUGAGUGACUUCCCGAGGAAUUGUGGCGACCAGGAGGCAGCACACGGACAGUACACAGGGAACGGAGACAGAGCAUAGAGCACGGGAUAAGGGAGAAGACACGGAACGGGAGUUGGGAUCGCACUGGGGAUUUAUUGUUGUUUGGAUUUACACCACUGUAAAUAAACGCACUGCCUUCGUCAUCAA